rfam:Schistosoma rodhaini strain Burundi genome assembly, scaffold: SROB_scaffold0001862
ACCCAGCUGACGAGUCUGAAAUAGGACGAAACGCGCGUCCUGGAU